rnacentral:rRNA from 1 species
AGGCGAAAAGAACCCCGGCGAGGGGAGUGAAAAAGAACCUGAAACCGUGUACGUACAAGCAGUGGGAGCACAGGUUUACCUGUGUGACUGCGUACCUUUUGUAUAAUGGGUCAGCGACUUAUAUUCUGUAGCAAGGUUAACCGAAUAGGGGAGCCGGAGGGAAACCGAGUCUUAAUUGGGCGUUAAGUUGCAGGGUAUAGACCCGAAACCCGGUGAUCUAGCCAUGGGCAGGUUGAAGGUUGGGUAACACUAACUGGAGGACCGAACCGACUAAUGUUGAAAAAUUAGCGGAUGACCUGUGGCUGGGGGUGAAAGGCCAAUCAAACCGGGAGAUAGCUGGUUCUCCCCGAAAGCUAUUUAGGUAGCGCCUCGUGAAUUCAUCUCCGGGGGUAGAGCACUGUUUCGGCUAGGGGGCCAUCCCGGCUUACCAACCCGAUGCAAACUGCGAAUACCGGAGAAUGUUAUCACGGGAGACACACGGCGGGUGCUAACGUCCGUCGUGAAGAGGGAAACAACCCAGACCGCCAGCUAAGGUCCCAAAGUCAUGGUUAAGUGGGAAACGAUGUGGGAAGGCCCAGACAGCCAGGAUGUUGGCUUAGAAGCAGCCAUCAUUUAAAGAAAGCGUAAUAGCUCACUGGUCGAGUCGGCCUGCGCGGAAGAUGUAACGGGGCUAAACCAUGCACCGAAGCUGCGGCAGCGACGCUUAUGCGU